rnacentral:tRNA from 2 species
GAUCCCGUAGCUCAGUUGGUAGAGCACUCGACUUUUAAUCGAGUUGUCCUGGGUUCGAGUCCCAGCGGGAUCACCA